CCGGUAAACGGCGGCCGUAACUAUAACGGUCCUAAGGUAGCGAAAUUCCUUGUCGGGUAAGUUCCGACCUGCACGAAUGGCGUAAUGAUGGCCAGGCUGUCUCCACCCGAGACUCAGUGAAAUUGAACUCGCUGUGAAGAUGCAGUGUACCCGCGGCAAGACGGAAAGACCCCGUGAACCUUUACUAUAGCUUGACACUGAACAUUGAGCCUUGAUGUGUAGGAUAGGUGGGAGGCUUUGAAGUGUGGACGCCAGUCUGCAUGGAGCCGACCUUGAAAUACCACCCUUUAAUGUUUGAUGUUCUAACGUUGGCCCCUGAUCGGGGUUGCGGACAGUGUCUGGUGGGUAGUUUGACUGGGGCGGUCUCCUCCUAAAGAGUAACGGAGGAGCACGAAGGUUGGCUAAUCCUGGUCGGACAUCAGGAGGUUAGUGCAAUGGCAUAAGCCAGCUUGACUGCGAGCGUGACGGCGCGAGCAGGUGCGAAAGCAGGUCAUAGUGAUCCGGUGGUUCUGAAUGGAAGGGCCAUCGCUCAACGGAUAAAAGGUACUCCGGGGAUAACAGGCUGAUACCGCCCAAGAGUUCAUAUCGACGGCGGUGUUUGGCACCUCGAUGUCGGCUCAUCACAUCCUGGGGCUGAAGUAGGUCCCAAGGGUAUGGCUGUUCGCCAUUUAAAGUGGUACGCGAGCUGGGUUUAGAACGUCGUGAGACAGUUCGGUCCCUAUCUGCCGUGGGCGCUGGAGAACUGAGGGGGGCUGCUCCUAGUACGAGAGGACCGGAGUGGACGCAUCACUGGUGUUCGGGUUGUCAUGCCAAUGGCACUGCCCGGUAGCUAAAUGCGGAAGAGAUAAGUGCUGAAAGCAUCUAAGCACGAAACUUGCCCCGAGAUGAGUUCUCCCUGACCCUUUAAGGGUCCUGAAGGAACGUUGAAGACGACGACGUUGAUAGGCCGGGUGUGUAAGCGCAGCGAUGCGUUGAGCUAACCGGUACUAAUGAACCGUGAGGCUUAACCUU
rnacentral:rRNA from 1 species